GCCCUUAGCUGACCUCUGGAGUUUCCUGGUAGUCUGUUGAUGGUGCUAGUUAAGAAUAUUGUGAAUUCUGCUCUCUCCAGAGAAUUUUAAGACAGAAACAUUGCUUGCAGAGUUUUCUAAGGGAUUCUGAUCAACUUACGUCUGAAAAAGUGUGGUAAAAUCUGAACACUAACAUUGCAGCCCUUUGACCUCAAAUGUAUAUGCUGAAAAUUCAGAUCCCAUCUGGACCCAGUAAAUGUGUGACUUGAAAGAAGGCAAAUGAAUGAAGACUUCCAUACUCUGGAGCUUCAGCAGAGAGGUGCUGCAGAUCACCUGGGAAAAUUCCAGUACUGUGAGAAAUCUUCCAUCUAGUUUAAUUUUUAAAUUAUCUUGUAUUUUAAUUGAAUUAAUAAAAAUAGCAAGAAGAGAGAAAAAUGAUAUUUGGAUUUUUUACUUAGAUUGAAACUAGCAGGAGAAAGGGGAUUAUCUCACUUGAUGAAGUAGAGAUUAUUACUUUUCAUCAAAAAACUGUUGUCUCUUUCAAUGUCAGAUGCUUUUGCACUUUGAGGAAUAAACUGAGAAGGCUACAGCUAUACUUCAUGGAUGUUUAUGUGCAGGCCUUGUCUGCUCACUGGGCUCCAGAACCACAGGACUUACCCUUGGUCUUUCCUGUGCUGCUGGACUCCUGGAGAGCAGGUCUGUGGCUGAUGAGGUUGGUGUCCUGCUCUUGUCUCCUGGCUCUUUUGUUUGAGCUGGUGGCAAGGUCUGAGCAGAAUUUUGCUCACAACCUUUCCAGCCCCUCCUUUAUCAAAGAACUUGAGACAAAUUCAAAAUUAGGAAAGGCCACAUUUCAAAAGUGUCUUAUGCUAGUGGCUGUGGUGAUUUUACCAAUUUUAUGACAUCUACUUUUAACUUUACAGAGUACGAUCUUACUGUAAUUACUGCUUGCAGCUUUAAGGGAGCUGGUGUGGACCAUACUAUUUUAAAGGUAUAAGCUCUAUUGAUCUAAAGUAUUCUGAGUGAUAAACAGCUGCUCAGGUUGAUUAAAGCUGAAGGGAAGCUGAAGCAUUUAAUCAAUCUCCAAAGCUGCUCCAAGUAUAUUACAAAGCAAUUGUGAUUAUUGCUAUUAUAUGACAAGCUAUAUCAUAAUAAAGAAAGAGGGAUCAUUUUUCUUAGAAGCA
rnacentral:lncRNA from 1 species